UGGUACAACAUCGGGAUUUAAUUCAGCACAGUCACAUAAAACAUUGAAUAGAGUAUUGACUAUAGGAAACAUGGUCAAGGUAUUAAGGAUAGAAAAACAAUUAUUCAAUGUGAAAAACAAUAAGCACAAGGAAGGGAUCAGAAUGCAAUAUGACGGAAUUUUUUUAUAGAACGAACAUAGCUUAGAAAUAAAGCUUUGGAGUAAUAUGUACACAAUGAGGGAAAUCUGCAAUCAUCUGUUGUCCGACGUAUUAAAGAAGAAAAUAGGUCAGGUAUGUAACUUGGGGGUCUAAGAAAUGCAUUUAAAAAAAAUCAGGAAAAUAUUGGGAAAAUAUUAAAAUACAUAGCAUUGCAACUUACAAAAGAUUUAAUUGAACAUAAAUGGUUCAAGGUUAGUAGAAAAUGCAAAAUAUGUUGUGAUUUAGUAAGUAUAAAUAAUAUAAAAUAUAAUUAAAGUGAAUGAAAAUAUAAAAUAGUUAAGUAAUUCUUUAUUGAUCUACAUUGGCAUAUGACAUUGAGGAGCUGGAUAAAAUAAAAUUUCAAAAGAGGUUGGUAUUUCUUUUUGAGUUUGAAACCAGUUGGCAAUUUAUUGAUUUCAAAACGUAAAAAAAGAGGGCAGAGUGAACAUGCUACUCCCUCCCAAACCUUAGACUUUGGUAGAUGGGCAUUUGCCCCCUAAUCCUAGAGUUUACCCCCCAAAAGAGGCUAGUAGUAUAUAAGAUGGACUUGCUAUAUUUCUUUAGAGUUGAAAUCUUCAGGCUAUCUGGUUAUCAGCAAUGGUAGGGAGAAUUGUUUUUGUUAACUGUACAGUUAAAUUUGAAAACUAAGAUAAUAGCAUGAAUUUUAUAGAAUCUUAAUAUAAACCACAAAAAAUAACUAAAGGAUACGAUUAUUAGGAUUUGAUGGUCCAAGCCUCAAUUCGGUGAUUUUUUUAAGAAAAUCUGUAUGUUCCAUAUUUUGGAUAUCUUCACAUUCCGAAUCAUCUGAACUCUCAUCAGCACAAUCACUAUCAAUCUAUUAAG
rnacentral:lncRNA from 1 species